UACGUAGGGUGCAAGCGUUGUCCGGAACUAUUGGGCGUAAAGAGCUCGUAGGCGGUUUGUCGCGUCUGCUGUGAAAACUCGGGGCUUAACUCCGGGCCUGCAGUGGGUACGGGCAGACUAGAGUGCGGUAGGGGAGACUGGAAUUCCUGGUGUAGCGGUGAAAUGCGCAGAUAUCAGGAGGAACACCGGUGGCGAAGGCGGGUCUCUGGGCCGUAACUGACGCUGAGGAGCGAAAGCGUGGGGAGCGAACAGG
rnacentral:rRNA from 1 species